CUAUCUGCUAAAUUUACCAAAUAGAUAAGUUAUAACAAUUAAGUCUUGUUUAUCUUGUCAGAUUUGAGAAAUGAAAGCUACUAUUUGGAUGAAGCCCCUGGGAAUCUAGAAAUUAUGCAAAAACUUAUUUCUAUGUAACAGUUUGAAAGGUA
rnacentral:lncRNA from 1 species